UCACCCUUCAAGCCCUGCGCUUGGUGUUGGACGGCUUGGUCGCAUAUCUCGUUCGACCCCUCCUAAAGACAAUGACGGCGGCCUGUGGUUCCCCCGGUACACUGAGCUUUUUAACUGAGCACGUAUCGGACAAGGGCGCCCGGGUCACGGUCCUCUUCCUUGACCGGAAAAUUUUUCCAAA
rnacentral:misc_RNA from 1 species